rnacentral:ncRNA from 1 species
UGAGAGCGAUGACGCGGAAGGUUGCGGCCCUGCCGGGAAUUUCCGCCGAGCGAAUGUCUGGUUCCAGAAACCGACGA